UACGAAGGGGGCUAGCGUUGCUCGGAAUUACGGGGCGUAAAGCGCACGUAGGCGGUUUCUUAAGUCGGGGGUGAAAUCCUGGAGCUCAACUCCAGAACUGCCUUCGAUACUGGGAAACUUGAGUCCGGGAGAGGUGAGUGGAACUGCGAGUGUAGAGGUGAAAUUCGUAGAUAUUCGCAAGAACACCAGUGGCGAAGGCGGCUCACUGGCCCGGUACUGACGCUGAGGUGCGAAAGCGUGGGGAGCAAACAGG
rnacentral:rRNA from 1 species